rnacentral:rRNA from 1 species
GACGGAGGAUGCAAGCGUUAUCCGGAAUGAUUGGGCGUAAAGCGUCUGCAGGUGGCAGUUCAAGUCUGCUGUCAAAGACCGGGGCUUAACUUCGGAAAGGCAGUGGAAACUGAACAGCUAGAGUAUGGUAGGGGCAGAGGGAAUUCCUGGUGUAGCGGUGAAAUGCGUAGAGAUCAGGAAGAACAUCGGUGGCGAAGGCGGAUCUCUGGGCCGUACUGACGCUCGAGGCGCGAAAGCUGGGGAGCAAACGG